rnacentral:rRNA from 1 species
UUUGCCUACGGGACGCAGCAGUGGGGAAUAUUGGGCAAUGGGCGCAAGCCUGACCCAGCAACGCCGCGUGAAGGAAGAAGGCUUUCGGGUUGUAAACUUCUUUUCUCAGGGACGAAGCAAGUGACGGUACCUGAGGAAUAAGCCACGGCUAACUACGUGCCAGCAGCCGCGGUAAUACGUAGGUGGCAAGCGUUAUCCGGAUUUACUGGGUGUAAAGGGCGUGUAGGCGGGAAAGCAAGUCAGAUGUGAAAACCACGGGCUCAACCCAUAACCUGCAUUUGAAACUGUAGUUCUUGAGUGAUGGG